rnacentral:lncRNA from 1 species
CGGGCACCAGACAUUGAUCAAAUGGGAAGGAAGUCACUCACAUAGGAGUGACCCCUGGAAUGCGAAAGAAGAGGUGACAGCAGGGUACUCAAUGAGAGGAGUUGCCUGCAAGUCUUAGAAUGAGAAUGAACCUGGCAGAAGUGAUGGGUCUCUUCAUCAGAAGAGCAGGUCUGAGAUGUCUUCCUCUGCUGAACGGAAGUUCCUCCCACUAAAGAGCCAAUGCCCGAAGUCCCUGUCAGCCUGGUCCUCUCUGAAGACAUUGCCUCACAGAAGAUGUGAUAGCUCAAAGCGAAGCCAUUUGGAGUCUGUUCAACACUUGUGAAUCUCAGCAGCUCCAUCCUGGAGAGAGCCCAUAGAUCAGGGGGUGAAACAGCAAUGACUUUGGAAGAAUCCGUGUUGCUGAAGCCCAGAAACAGACAGUCCCUUGUGGGACUACACUAAAGAGAAAAUACUGGACAUGGGUCACAGGGAUUCAGGUACUGGAAAUUCUGUACUAUGUUGUGCCAUGCAAACUUGAGAGGUAGCUAGCUUCCGGUGACCCCGGAAAUAGAGGAACCCCUGACUAGCUCUGGUUGGGAGGCUAGGCAUAUGCAAGACACCCAACUCCCAGCUUUCCGGUGGAGUCUGCGUUGGUGUGUGCGCCCCAUUUACCUGCCUACCACAGCUGCACCCGUCAUU